UACGGGGGGGGCAAGCGUUGUUCGGAAUUACUGGGCGUAAAGGGCUCGUAGGCGGCCAACUAAGUCGGAUGUGAAAUCCCCAAGCUUAACUUGGGAACUGCAUCCGAUACUGGAUGGCUUGAAUCCGGGAGAGGGAUGCAGAAUUCCAGGUGUAGCGGUGAAAUGCGUAGAUAUCUGGAGGAAUACCGGUGGCGAAGGCGGCAUCCUGGACCGGCAUUGACGCUGAGGAGCGAAAGCUAAGGGGAGCAAACGGGGAUU
rnacentral:rRNA from 1 species